ACGAAUCUAGCCGCAUCUUGGUCGGGUCUUCGGGUAUAGGCCAUUAAACGAAGUCGUUUUUUGGCCACUGCAGUAGGCCCUAAACAACGUCGUUUAAAGAGAGUUAUAAAACUAAAAAAAAACCUAAAACAGAAGUGUUUUAUCAGACUAAAACCAUCAAACAAAAAAACCUAAAUCUCUGCCUCUUUUUCUCACCGUUUUGAAACCCAAAAUCCCCCUUUCCACCCCGAUUCAAACGAAGUGAAGGAGGACUCCAACGGUUCGCUCACACAGGUAAGUCCCUUGCCUUCUUUUCUAUUUUUUUCACACGCAAUCAAUCAAAUAUAGAAAAGAAAAGCAGUAAAAAUAAAAAAAAC
rnacentral:lncRNA from 1 species